CGCAACCCUUGUCUCUAGUUGCCAGUAUUAAGUUAGGGACUCUAGAGAGACUGCCUCGGUUAACGGGGAGGAAGGUGGGGAUGACGUCAAGUCCUCAUGGCCUUUAUACCCAGGGCUACACACGUGCUACAAUGGGCUGCACAAAGGGUCGCUAGCUCGCGAGAGUGCGCUAAUCCCAAAAAGCAGUUCUCAGUUCGGAUUGGAGUCUGCAACUCGACUCCAUGAAGUUGGAAUCGCUAGUAAUCGUGGAUCAGCACGCCACGGUGAAUACGUUCCCGGGCCUU
rnacentral:rRNA from 1 species